rnacentral:rRNA from 1 species
GCGAACGCUGGCGGCAGGCUUAACACAUGCAAGUCGAGCGGGCAUCCUUGUGGUGUCAGCGGCAGACGGGUGAGUAACGCGUGGGAACGUGCCCUUCGGUUCGGAAUAACUCAGGGAAACUUGAGCUAAUACCGGAUACGUGCGAGAGCAGAAAGGUUUAUCUGCCGAAGGAUCGGCCCGCGUCUGAUUAGCUAGUUGGUGAGGUUACGGCUCACCAAGGCGACGAUCAGUAGCUGGUCUGAGAGGAUGAUCAGCCACACUGGGACUGAGACACGGCCCAGACUCCUACGGGAAGCAGCAGUGGGGAAUAUUGGACAAUGGGGGCAACCCUGAUCCAGCCAUGCCGCGUGAGUGAUGACGGCCUUAGGGUUGUAAAGCUCUUUUCUCCGGGACGAUAAUGACGGUACCGGAGGAAUAAGCCCCGGCUAACUUCGUG